GAUGCCAGCCAUGGCAGCAGGAGUCCCAGCAGGGGGAAAUCUCCCUCACUUAAAGUCACACAACAAAGCAAGCAGAGUUAUCCUUUCAUCUGCACUCUGCUCAUCUGUGCCUCCAGUGUCCCCUGGAUAAGAUCAUAGGAACAGAAAGGGACCAUGUCCACCCAGGCAAUGUGCUAAGAAACUUUAACUUCUUCCUGAGUAACCUGAGGGAUGUUGGACUUCUAACUCCCUAGACUCCAGCUUCUACAAAGUAGCCUGUGGUGGCCACACGGCUACCCGGGGAACUCUACGGAUCCCACCUUGUUGAAUCACAGUUCUGGCUGGCCUCACCAGUCACCUCUGGGGCUUUACACAGCAUAGCCCUGCUGGGCUCCAGUGUAGAUUCUGAAGCAGUGCCCAGUGGGACCCACACUUUACAAAGGGUGACCCGUGCCAUCACUUGCAUGUCCCCGAGGGCUGGCCAUCAUAUUUCCAGCAUGUGGAGAGCAGCCGCAGGGUAGGACAUCCAAGUCAAUUCAUCUCAUUAGAUUCUUCCCUGAACACUAGAGUUCGCAGAACUCCCUAGAGCACAGAUGACUCCAAACACAGGGUCCCAAGAAAAACCUAUUCCUGGGAGUUACAUAGCCUUCACUUAAUAAAAUCUCACCUUUGCGUGCACGAUUC
rnacentral:lncRNA from 1 species